GCCCGACCCAGCUGGAGCAGCUCCCUCCCGUCCCGUCCCGCCCCAUUCCGUCCCGUCCCGUCCUGUCUCUCCCGGCCGUCCCGUCCCUGCGCUCAGCACCGCUCCCCGGCGCGUCGGGACCCCCGCAAUUAGCGGCACUCCCGAAGCGCUCAGCCCGGGUGUCCGCGAGUCGCUCCCACCGGAGCAGUCUGGGCCCGUGGGAAGGGCGGAAAGGCUGUCAUAGACACCCUUCUGUACCUCUCCCCUUAGCAGAACCCCGUGUCACAGUAUGGUCCAUCACAUUUUAUUGCUGAGACAUCGGCAUCACAGGACAGACCCGAGUAACACAUGCACGCAUUUAUUCUGUUUGCAGGCAUCGAGAUUUUUGUUACACAAAUAGGAAUAAUUCCCAGCGCUCAUUGUUCUGCGGCUCAAAGUGGCCACAAAGCCUUUGUAGGGCGGCAGGUCGGCACCUCCCGGUACCAGAGCCGCCCUCCCGAGCAUCGUUAACGCGGCGGUCCGUUCCCUGCGCCCGUCGGAGCGCACGGGGCCGCGCAGCCCCAGGACAGCACCUUGAGCCCCUCCCGCCCGGCCGGGGAUCGCCUCAGCCCACACCGAGAGGCGGCGAUGAAACCGGUGUCCGUCAUGUCGCCUGUUCGCUUCAAAAAGGGCACAUCCUGACCUCGCUUCCCCACGUGGAAGGUUGUCUCCAACCUUUACACAGAUGCGUCUGAACGCACAGAAACAUGCGUUUUUUCCCCUUCCAGCCCGGCUUUAUUCUCUCUAUUUUCUACUUUCUCCCCUUUGGCCAAAAGGAAGCUCCCCGGGUGUCUGCGAGUGCAUGCGAAGGGACAGUAACCCCGCAGCACUCCCGAGCCACACCGGGAACCCCCCGCAUCACUUCACUCCCCCAAAAAACUGUUGAUCUCCUCCAAGUGAGAGGCUGAACCUUUCCAUUUAGGGUUCAUGGCUGCGUCGCUCCCUUCCUCCUAUCCCGUCCUUUUUCCCGAAUUCCCAGUUUGGGAUUGCCGGGGCUCCCCGAGCUGCCCCGGGGCUCAGGCAGGGGCAAAGCGGGAGUCGGGACGGUUAUGUUUGGUGUCAGGCAGGGCAGGAGGCAGCGACACCGCUUCUCAGCCAACUGGACGAGGAUGGGAUCUAUUAUUAUUAUUAGUAGUAUUAUUAUUAUUAUUGUUAUUGUUGUUAUUGCUAUUAUUAUUGUUGCUAUUACUAUUGCUGCUGUUAUUUACCAUUAUAGCUUGUUAUAAUUUAUUACGAUGAUAUGCGAUUUGAAAUCAUCCAUUUGCAACUUGCAAAGCACCACUACAUUCACCUUAAACCUGCUUUCUGUCCCAGCCAAUGGUGGCAGGGGCCGGCUAGCCUGUCCCCCCGGAGCAUUAACCCUUGUCGCGAGCUGCAGAGAGAGAGGAGCUGAGCUUUGGCCCCGAGGAGCUGUGUGCAUGGAUCUGGCACAGCUUUGCUCCUUUCACUCCUGGACCUUUGUUUUGGUGGCGAGCGGGGAGAGCAGGGAGCGCUGUGCUCGCGUUUCCCUCCGGCUUACGCACACACACACACACACACACACACACAUACACACACACACACACACACACACACACACACACAAAUCCCCUUUCCAACUUUCUGCCUUUUGCGCUUCCCUCCCAGUUUUUCACUUCUCAGACCUACUGGCAGCAUUUGCCGAGAUCUAGAUCCCCGCCGUGGCUGAUAAAUGAACAGGUAAACAAACUAUACAGGCUAUGAUUACUUUCGAGGAAAUCUACUUUAGGAUUGGAGAGUGACCAUAACCAGUAUGCGCCCAUCAAAAUGGACAGGGAACAGCAUUAACAGGAUUCUCUACCAUAUAGCUUGGACAAUUCUUCCAAUAGCGGGCUCCAGGGAACCAUCUUUGGGCUUCAUCUCACUUACUCAGCUUCUACUCAAGACUACUGUGCAUCCUAAGCUUUCCCACAGGAUCUACAUUCUUCGUCUGCAAAACAUGUGCUUUUGCUUCUGCACCGAAAUCAAUUACAGAUCUGGGGCCCCUGAGAGGUGGAGAAGUGUCAAAGCACUGGAAUCUCCAUCUGGGAUGGUGCUGCAUCUUCAAGCGCAGGAAUUUCCUAAGAGAUCCUAUUAGCCAGGCUGCAUCCAGACUGAAAAGCUCUCAGCGACAAUGAGGAUGUCAGCAUCACCUGUUCCUGGGCAUGAAGGAAGGAAUUGGCCAGGAGUGCUUCUUCCUGGUGCCCCCUAGAGUGCAGAGAAGCAGAAGAAGGAUGCUGACAACAAGGCCAAUGCUUAAAUAUCUUGCUCAUAAUCACAGACAGACACCAGGGUAGAGAAGAAAACUCAAAGGACUACCACUCAGAAAGUCAAAUCAUCAGUCCACAGUCUCACUGUGCCUACAGAAUUAAGGGACAAAUUCUCUGCUGUUAUACACUGGUCCAGGAGGAGGCUGAUGACAAAAGGGAAGGAGGGAAUGAUUGGAAAAUAAUGACAUACUUUACCAGUCUAUGUCUCCUGAGGAACAGGCUCUUUGUUUUAAAACAGUAAAUUGUUUCUCUGCCUUCACAUCCAGCAUCGAGAGUCUUGUAUAUGCUAGAAACAACAGACAUUAUUUGAGGUAAUCUUGAGGUCUCUAAGAGCCAAAGAGGAUGCACAGGCAAAGUCCUGAAGCCUCUCUGCCACCCUGUCCCAGAAACUGAAAGUGUUUUAAGCUAAGGGCUGGUAGAGUAAGGAAAAUAAAAUAUGUCUGGAUAUGAACUUGUCUCUAUGACCUGAUUAAAACCCACGGAAAUUCAAAUUAAUCCCAGGAAAAUCAAAGUUGCUUUAGUGAUAGAAACAGAUUUUUUUUGUUUGUUCUGAUAUAACUCAUCCCAAGUAAUAUUGGUACUAAGUAUGGCAUAAGAUCAUGUAUUUUAAAAUGUAGUGCCUCCUAUGAACAUUCUUCUCAAUGAAAUGUUUUAUAUUUUCCUUAAAAAAUUGCCAUACUUGAAAGAAUUAUUUUUUUUUCCUAGCACCUGCUUAAUCUUUUGUUCCAUAGAUAAUUUCUCAUUACCCAGGUGUCCUCUUAUGGACACACAGAAAGAUUGGGCUCAGUUUAAGUGUGAAAUAAUCCUGUUGCUUCUAUCUGAGAAUGAAUGAGCCUGGGAUUAGAUCAGAUAAAACACACUUGAGAUAAAGUGCACAAGGUGGAUUAUAUGGGAAAAGAGGAUUUAGUGAAGAACAUAUCCACAACUUUUUGUUAACAUAGAGAAUGGUAGCUUUUGUAAGCAACAUUUAUGGAAACUCAACUGGAGGUUUAAAAGCUAUGUCUUUUGUUGUACAUUUCUCUGCAUACAUUUGCUUUGUAGUUGGUAGCUUUAACUUUGGAAGCCAUGCUGGGCCUCGACUCAUGCUCAUUUUGUUUUAUGAAAAGCUAAGGAUGUACUUUUACUCAUAGAUUCUUGUUUUGUUUUCUUUGAAGUUUAUUAAGCUAUCCAGUAAGAUGGGAAGUUCAUUAGGUUGUUAUUAUCACGGCCACAAAUUAAGCAUCAGUUCCCUGGGGAGUUAUAAGCUUCGAGUGGAUGUCAGAGCCAUACUUACUACAAUAUUUACUUAAUUAACAAGUUGCUGCUUCUUGUCAUAUAAAAUACAAACAUGGACUCUGCUGUCCAUAUUAGACACAUACUCUCCACCUGCUGAAUGUUUAAGAUCCACUCAUCCCAUUUAAGAACUCUUAUAAAAUAUAUAACUCCUUUUUUUCUUGUUAUGUGAUCAUUUAAAAUGGUUAACCAAGAAUAAUUAAGAACAAUAGUGCUUAAUUCAAACAUUAUAUAAAAUCUGACAUUACUAUUGAAGUUGGUUCUAUAUGUCACAACACUGGUAGUUUCCAAUACCAAUAAAAGCACUUCAAAAUUAUCCAAUUAUGGUUUGCCAAAGCACCUUGAAAGUCAACAUGUGAGGGGUGUUUUGUCAAGUAGCUGGCUGGAGAUCCCUAGAGUUAAGAGCUCUCCUAAAAGCAGCUCAGAAGUGAUGACAAUGAUCUGUAAUAAAAUCAGGCUUUUCAAGGCUGCAGUACACUUCUUUUAUGAAAACUUGGGGAAAUUCAUAUAAGAGGCAGAUGUGUCAUCACAAACGUCUGAAAGUCAUUCUUAAUCAUUAUACAGUUGGGUUUUUUCCACCUCUUCAGUGCUUUAAUUAUACAGUGCUGUAAAUUUUAGAAUUACCAAAUCUUCCCCUGUUGAGUCUUCUGAAGAUGUCAAGCCAUGUAAAACAAAAAUGUUAUUUUCUUUUCUCAGAUAUGACUUCUGUGAACAGAUAUGACUAUUAGGAGGAUGUCAACACCACAGAACAAUGGCUGUAUUUUUUUUGAGAAAUGUGUGCCCAUUUUUACUUCAGAGGUUGCACUUGGCAGUACAGGUUAUCAUCUGUCAUGCUUAUCAUUUAUAUGCUAUCUACCAUAUGACUCAUACCUCACUGAAGAACCUUCUUUUUUGUAUCAUGUUUUUAUAUCUUAUCAAUUUACCUCUCACUCCACCAGUAACAUACUUUGGCAUGGUCCAUUCUAGCAGCCCUUUUCCCUGCAGAAAAAUCCUAUAACAAUUUACCUUUGGUGAAUCUUGCUCUGGAGAGGCCCAUCGCUUUCCCAGCUGCAGAAGAAACACAGGCUUCUAGUGCCAGGUUCAUUUUCUGGUUCUUCUGUGCCAGUGAAAAGCCAAGUUGAUGAAGUAGUCACCUACCAAUGGACAAGAGUUCUUGUUUUGAAAAUGACAACACGAGUCACUGAAGCUAAGUAAAAACCAACACCAUUUUCCAGCCUGAAUGAGUCAAGAUGAUUCUCAUUUGCUUUGCUAGGCCCGUAUAAACCACUUUGAAGUAAAAUAUAAGAUUUAUGCUCAAGUGAAAAAGAAAGUGGAAAAUCUGUCAUAAUCCUCUUUCAUAGUAAAUAUAAAAACGUUUUCCUCUUAACUAUGCUUACUAAAUUAAGAAUCCAAUGCUAAAGUUCUUGCUGUGUAUUUUUAUAAGUAAGUUUACAAUAGCUAGCAAGGAAUAUUGAAAACUAUUCCUAAAAAAAUGCAAAUAGUAAUAGCAGUGUCUGAAGAUAUGAUGCUAUCAAUAUUUCAGAAACCACCGAAUCCAAACUAGGUCAGCGUAAUAUUCAAGCCAUCAUGCAAACAGCAUAAUGCAGAUACCCAGACAGGAACCCUGUCUUUGCAUUUCGUAAUCUUCCCUGUUUUUUAACUUGAGCUUUUAAAAAUCUCAUACUCUUUGAGAAGAUGCAGUUAAUCUUCAUUUCUUAUUCAGUUCUACAAGUCAAAGACUUCAAAAUAUUUACAAAAGUAAUUAAAAAAAAUCUAAAAACUUAGUAAUAAUUUAAAUAUUUUUCAAGAGAAAUAAUUUGAAAUGUUGAAAUAAAGGAAUGAGUUUCCAUCUUGGCAUCCUACAAUAAUUAAAAGAAACAAAGAAACAAACACAAAACAAUGUCAUUCAUCAUUUCAGUCAUCAGGGGCUCCAUCAUAACUUUGCAUAGGGCCAGACACUAGUGAAGUUAUUUAUAUUUAUAUAAAUGUCAUAAAGACAUGACUCUUGUUCAUUCAGAAGUGUCUGGAGUUUCUAAAAUGUAUCCUAAUACUGGAAAAUAAAACAAUGUUUUCUAUGAUCCAGUAAUAAUGAUUGCAAAUUAAUAACGAAAUUAUUCUCUGGUGAAUUUUAUUCUUCUACUGUUCCUUGAAAUAGAUUUGUGAUUAAAAAUAAUCCUCUGUAAUUAUAUCCACAGAGCUGUUUAAGCUUUUUAUCACCACUAAUGAUAAUAUGGUCAUGCUUUCUAUGAAAAGUGUAUUUCUCAACAUGAUGUGCUGUAAACAACGUGUCUUUAGGCUAUUUUUGACCUUUAACCAAUGGGAAAGGUCUGUCUAGUUGAUCUCAUCUAACUACACAGCAGGUACAAGGAAUUAAACCAAUUUAGUUUGAGCCCUGGUACAAUAUCAAGUAUCAGACAAUGCUUUCCAAAAGGAAAUACUUAACAAGCCUGUAAUCCUCUAUUAUAUUUAUCUAUACAAAGAGGUUAAAAACAAAUCAGACAAAGAAAAAUAACAACAACAACAAAAUAAACCCAACAAAAACAAACCCUGAGCUAUGUUCAGCAGAGUGGAAUCCCAAGCAGAAAUCCCUGAUAUCAUGUAGUUUGUAAAACUUGGCGAGGAGCGCUGCUACGAGCAAAUUAUAAACAAACAAUCCACUCUGGACCUAUACUGUGUCAGACUGCUUAUAAGGUAAUACAAGAAAAGUAAAACACUACAUUGCUGGCGCCAGCAGCCUCCAGAUAUUUGCCUGAUGUUCAAAGUGAACUGUACUCUGUACUUUUCACUGGAAGAACAGUGAAAGAGAUUAAUAAUUAAAAAGAAACAUUAAAAACAAAGCUUUUAAAACAACAACAACAACGACACCCACAUAUUAAUUAGGUCCUUAACAGCACAAGUAUAAUUUAAAGAGACAGCUUUGCUUUUAGUAUGGAUAUAGGUCCCAGUCUCACCAUUCUAGCUCUACCUCCUUGCUGAGACAGAGCCUGAUGUUCCUCCCAGGCAGCUGCACUUCAUGAAGAAUCACGGAAUCAUGAAGGUCGGAAAAGACCUCUAAGAUCAUCUAGUCCAGCCGUUUCCCUCCCACCAAUAUUGCCCACUGACCACAUCCCUCAGUACCACAUUUCUAUGGUUCUUGAACACCUGCAGGGAUGGUGACUCCACCAACUCCCUGGGCAGCCUGUGCCAGUGCACCACCACUCCUUCUGAAAAGUAUUUCCUGAUACUCAACCUCCCAUUCAGGAGCUGAAGUACACACCCUUCGUUUACCAAGCGGUAUUAACAAGAAAAUGUCUAUUUUUGCACAAGAUGCUGGAGGAUAUGGUGUCAUCAGGUGAGGAAUGGGUGUUCCUGCGAUUUCAUGAGAAUAAACUGGUUACUUGCCAGAAAUCGUCUGAUACAAGGGGACAAGUUAAGAGUGAAUUUGAUCUAGAGCAGUCAUGCAGUUCAGGGUGCAGUUUUGUCCUCCAAGACCAAAGACUGCGGACACCAUAGAUUCUUUGCCUGGUGCAAUGUGGGAUGACCGCUGUCCCCCGUAAGCACCCAGGCUUUACCAAUCAGAAGCAAAAGGAUGCUGAUGCUGUAUCUUUGCUGGUUACUUUGCAAUGUACAUAUGUAAUGGAGUACGGAGUUCAGUAAUACUGUUUUUGUUACAGUGAUGUUUGUAUAAGCAAAAAUGAAGUAAAUAGUGCUUUUUGCAUAGUUUUGGCCAAUUUUACUCAUCCAGAACAACUCCUGAAAAUUUUCCCUGUCAUCGCUGACCAUUUCCUACUUCUGAAAUUUUCAUUGGGUAAAAAUUGGUCUUGGGGCAACCUAAACAUUGUUUGAAACAUGUUUUUCUUUCUUUCUUUUUUUUUUUUUUUUUUAAAGAGAAUUACCUAGUAGUGUCAUUAUUUAUUGGUGUACCUCUUUAGAGAAUAUUCAAAUGCUUAAAACUGGAAAUGGAGCAUAAUGCAAGCCACUAUAGAGCAGAUGCCAAGCUUGAAGUGCUCUUAGGAAUACAUAUACCACGUUUUAAUUUCAACUCCUAUUAUUAUACUAACUAGUCACAAAAUGGCUUCCUAUUUAUGCAAUAUGUUAUCUGUAAUGUCACUUAAAUUGAAUAGAUGAGUGCCUUCUAAUAAUGUAUGUUUACUUCAUGAACUUGUAGGCAAUUACAUUGUAAUUAUGUCUUUUGUAGGUCCUUUUUUUGCUGACACAUAGUGCACCAGUGCAUUUUAAGUGUAAUUGCAGUUCUCCCUACCAUUUAGGAAAGCUGAACAUUGUUAAAGGUUUGUAAAUUACCUACUGUUAGACCAUAGGCAAGUAGGCAAAUUAAAUGGCAGUGUCAGUAAUAUUAUAAUGUAAAUUGGUGCCAAGCAUAAUCCAAGGUAGGAGCAUUUUUGCAGAACAAUACAUAUGUUGCACCUCAAAAACUGCAACGGAAAAAGCAGACACUCCCAAAGCUGCCAAAGUGCAUGUUUCUGAUACCUGAAAAACACAUGCAACAUACAGCCUACAUAACUAUUACCUACGUAAAGAAGUGAAUGUAUAUUUACAUUCACAUAGUUUGCCCAACUGGGUUUUAAAGUCAUCCUAUAGAAGUGAAAGGUAUGACCAAAUGCUGAUAUGUCUGAAUGUCAUUCCUGCUUCUUGGGAAUGACAUUUUACCAGAGAAAGAAGAAAAUACUUUCCCAGCAGCCUGCAAUGUCUUGAAGGGAGGGAUGAAGACAGACCAUUCUCAGGAUGAAAUCUGUAUCAUCCCUAUUUCCUUCUUGCAAGAUCUUGUACUCACUUUGAGGAAGGAAGGAAGGAAGCAACCAGCCUCUUUGACCAUGCUUAUUCCUCACUUUUUCCUUGGAUAAAGGCACGAACCCUGUGAGGACUAGCAAUAGCGUGGCACGGAAGGGCAAUCGUGUGUUCUUCUCAUGGUUUUAGCUUCUCAGCAAAUCCACAGGCUAGAUCCCCACAUAAGUUUGAGGCUGCAAGAUUGUAGCAGCAGAAGAAUCCCUUAAAGCCUAGAGAAGAGAGAGGAAUCCCUAUCCUUACUUCGGCAGAGCAGUGACCUGUAUCCCAAAGGCAACUUGAAGAGCACAGGUAAAAAGAAAACCAUCUCUCAGCAUCAGCAUGAGGCCGUAUCUUCUACAACUGGGCACUGUCUGAUUGGGGCACAGAAUUUUAAUAUGAGGUUAACAUAUUUAAGCCUGGUGCUUUAAACCUAUUCUCUGUGUGCUAUAUCAUUACUCACCUCACUAUCUGGAUCACAGGAUUGCAUUUUACUUAUUUUUUAUCCCAUUUGUGGGUAAAACAGGCAUUUCAAAGCAGAGAAAAAUUGAUUUGUCCAACUUUUGACAUGGUUAUAAAAAAACUUAUUUAACUACAGACUGGUUAUAUUGGUAUUGUUGUAGAGAAUAGAAAUUGGAGAGUUGAUGCUGUAUUUACAAUAGGAACUUGAACUAUCACAUGCAUGGACAUGUCAGUACAGAAUUUUUUUAAAGCAGAUUUAUGUCGCCCUAUGGGGCUUAAGGGGAUAGUGAUUAUUAUACACUGAGAAAUGUGCAUUUAGCUUAUAAAACCAAUGUCCCACAGAGGUGACCACUCUAGAAAGACCAGCAACAUCACUUAAGUAAAUUAAUUUUGAAGUACUGUCCUGUCACUUCAUGCCUCUAGGCCAAUCACUCACUGGUGGAG
ensembl:lncRNA